rnacentral:rRNA from 1 species
UACGGAGGGUGCAAGCGUUGUCCGGAAUCACUGGGCGUAAAGGGCGCGUAGGCGGCUCAUGAAGGCUGUGGUGAAAGUCCGGGGCUCAACCUCGGAUCGGCCGUGGCGACUCGUGGGCUGGAGCACUGUAGAGGCGGGUGGAAUUCCGGGUGUAGCGGUGGAAUGCGUAGAGAUUCGGAGGAAGACCGGUGGCGAAGGCGGCCUGCUGGGCAGUUACUGACACUGAGGCGCGACAGCGUGGGGAGCAAACAGG